rnacentral:lncRNA from 1 species
GUUUAUAUAAUCCAAGUCUAUGUUACCAGGUAAAUAGUAGUUUAUGGUUGCCAUAUUUUUGGCAGUGUCCAUGUAUAUCCCUAGCAAUGUCUUGGAAUUAAAAUGUGUUCUCUUUUAAAUUAAUAAUGCUGCACUACCUUUCACUGGUUAUGCAUUGCUUAGAAUGUAUUUUCCUCUAUCUUGUUUUAACGUUUAUGUAUGAUUUUGAUUUUAGUGUAUCUCUUUUAAGAAGAAUAUAAAUGCAUUUUCCCCUCAUCUGUCACAUAAUAGAUGAACUGAAACUUUUACAUUUAAUGUGAUCACUGAUAGAACUCAUUUCUGCUUUUUUGGUGGUUUAUCUAGUUGUUAUUUUCUUUUUCCUUUUUCUUCCUGCUUUACAGCUUUCUACUGAGUUUAUCAGACUUUCUUUACUUUUGUGUUUUCUUUAGCACUGCCUUUGAAUUAGCCAUCCUAUUUUUAAAUCUGUAGUAAUUACACUUAGCUUUUCUGAUGUAGUUGUGGUGGUGGUUUGUUUUUGGUUUGUUUUACUAUUAACUUUUAGUAUGUAUAUUUAUAUUAAGAAAGUCUAAAGCUAAUAUAUUUCUCUUCCUCCUCAAAAAACAAAGACCAUAGAAAUAUUUAAAUACAAUCACUCAUCUUGGUCUCAUCCCACCCACACCUUUCAUGAUACUUUGUCUAAUAUUUUUUAUCCCUUUAGUUCCAGCUUUUGAAGACAUGCAUUUUCAAAGCCCUUCAUGUUUUGUGAGCUAAUAGUUUGGUAGUGAAUCACUAUUCAUGGAACUCUGAUAAGGUAUAUAAAAUCUCAUAGUGGUUUGUGGGAAUUUGCUAUAUGUCUAAGAUCCCCAAUACAGAGCCUUGACCUAAAGAGGACGAUGGCAUUAAUAAGUUGAUGGCUAAGCACUUUAUUUCACCAAUGCACAGUAUAAUAGGUUUUCCUGCAUUCCCAGAGAUUCUCUGCUGACAGGAAUUUGGAAUGUCUCAGGGCUUUCUGAAUGUGUAAUAGAGAAUUCACUUGAUCCUGCUUCAAUUAAAGACUUCUUUGAGAUCCAAGGCAAAAUGCAUUUAACUGGGGGUGAAAGUAAGAAAGAACACACUGCUCAAAAUAAAAAAAAAAUAAUUCAGUUUGGGGAGAUUUUGAUGUUCCUCUGACCUGGAAAUGGAAUAAUAUUUAUUGGUCCUAUUGACUAAAAUUGUACUCUUGAUGUGUUUUACGUACUGGGAUAUGCUAGCAGUUUGAACUUUCAUACAAGACUUGCUUCUACUCUGAGCUCUACUGUGUAUUAGCAUUUUGACUUCAAGCACAAUAUUUAACCUUGCUUAAGCUUAGGUUCUUUUAUAUGCCAAAAGGUGACAAUACUUGCCCUUGGAGCAUUAUAUAAUUGCUGUAGGACAUAAAAAGAAUGGUAAAGGAUAGUAUUUUCUGGAUUGUAAAACAUUAUACAAAUAUAAAUAAUUAUUAAGAAAAGGGAAACUACUGGAAAACCACAUACAACUUAUGUCAUGGUUCUGGUGAGUCAUCUUGUCAGGAGAAACAAGAGUUAUUAUAAAAUCAGGGGAUUCUGAAGAUGUUCAAUGUCUUCUAAACAUAACCUAUUCAAAGCAGAAUAGUGAUAAAAACCGAAAAAUAUUAAGGCACCAAGGAUACUAGGUCAUUUUUGACUGCUUUUAAUUUAUGUCUGACAUAAAAUGCUGGGGAUGAAACUUGCCUCAUAUAGACUGCAAAUCUAGACAGAUGUAGUAAGAUCUUAGGGAAAUCUAAAUUUAGAAUAAUUCUAUUUAACAUUGAAAGUGUAAGGAAGGUCUUCCCUGUAAUAUGGUGCCACUUAAGAAGCGAGAUACAAAGAAAACUGGGUCAAAGAAAGUGAUCAAACAAUGUAUGUGCAUACAACAUGCUGAACAGGACCCUGACCACUCCAAUCAAAGUCACUGAUUAGUUCCUUGCAGCUCUGGCACUCUGAUUCAGAGAUUAAAUGAAUUAUAAGGUUUUUCACCUAACAUGCAUUUCUUAGACCAUUUUUUCACUUUUCAUAAUAGGGUUAAAUGCACCAAAGUUUAUUAUUUUUGAGGAGGGUUUAGGAAUAGAAGGCACAUAAAUUUAGUACUGGCUAUGGCCAGACAGUGAGAAAGAUUAUUACCGACAGUAUCUCAUUUAAACUUCUGGACAGUCCUAUCAGAUAGUCAUUCUUAUUCUCAUUUUACACAUAAGGAAGCUGAGAGUCAGCAGAGUUCAGUAACUUUACAAGGGUCAUGCAUUAAAUUACAGAGCUGAAAUUUAAACCCACGUGUGUCUGAUGCAAACAUUUCUUCAUUGUGCAAUUGAGAGACCUUGGUAGAAUGAAGAAGAAUUCUUCUAGGAAAUUUAUGUAUUGUAAAAAUGGAAUAUGAACAAUCAUCUAUGUGGUAUGAGUUCAGAGAGAAUGAGUGUGAUUCCAAACACCUUUAUCAGCUGGACUUUCUAAGCCGAAAAAACAUUCCAUUAAGACCACAGGUGGCAAAUAAGUUUCAUUUUAAGCACCAAUUCUGAGGAGUUAACAGUCACUGCCUGAAUCACUGUGUUGAGAAAGAUUCUGAGGAGGGUGCUUCCUGCCUCAGCAGGAGAGAGUCUUAUGAUCAAUCAGUGAUGACUGCUAUGGAUGUGGGAGGCAAGAGUGGUGGCAUAAGUGCCAAGUUUCGCCCAUUAUGGAACUAGACAUAUGUUACCUUGAUUUAAGUGAAGUUAGCUUCAGCUGUGAAUAGUCCAGCUCCUUGGGAGGAGGCCUACAUUCAGCCUCAUCAGUUCUUGCACCUCAUUCUGUGAGGAAGUUAAUGCGAUUAUUAUCCUAAGAGAAGUAUUUGUUUGUCAGAAGGGAAAGGAGAUUGUAGGAGUGCUGUAUUCAUGGGGAAGGAGAGAAGCAGUGUGGAGAACAGUGGGAAA